UCAAUCAACAAACUCACUUUCAUAUUUACCAAACAACACUAUCUAUAUCUUAAUUUGAUAUCCAAAAAUCAUGAAUCGUGCAACAGCAACAAGCAAAGCAUGGAUGGUGGCUGCAAGUGUUGGAGUUGUGGAAGCUUUGAAAGAUCAAGCUGGUAUUUGUAGGUGGAAUUAUGCUUUAAGACAAGCUCAACAACACCUUAAAAACCGUGUUAGAUCAAUUUCUCAAGCAAAGAAUUUCUCUUCUUCUUCAUUUCUUGCUAACAAACUUAAGGAUGAGAAGAAGGCAAAACAGGCAGAGGAGUCUUUGAGGACUGUCAUGUACUUGAGCUGUUGGGGUCCCAAUUGAUUAAUUUGUACAUAGUGAUAUUAGAUUAGAUUAUUUAUGUAAAGUUUGUAAUAUCAAACUACAGUACUAUUAUUAUUCAAUGAGGAAAGUUUAUUCUUCACAUAUCUAUGUUUCAAAGUGCAUACCCGAUCAGUAUUGAAUUUGGUGAGUGUGUGUAUUACGAUGAUUAGAUGGUAAUGGUAUUUUGAUUACAUGACACAUGCUUUUUUAUCACACAACACUAAAUGAAAAUUGGACAGAUUAGAUUCUAAGUUGUGGGUUGAAUCCAAUCUAAUAAAGUUGGAAUCUGAUCUGAGUCAUGUAUAUGUAUUGUAUUGUAACCUUUAUUUAACUAUUUAGAUUUACUGCAUCAUUGUUUAAGAAUAGCAAAUCUGGAUUCCACACAGAUAGUGUAUUUAUCUUUGUCAUAGAACGGUUAAAUCAUCAAGUAAUUUAUGCAGUUUACUUGACUCACGAGAAUAAUUAGUAAAUCCUAGUCAAUAGGAAACUAUGAGAUACAUUUUAUUCCAUUUGUAUAAGCAUCGUAUAAUGUUAAUUUUUUGGUUCUAUUAUAUUCCAAGAGAUAAAGAUGGAGGCCAUUUCGGAGUCUUUAUGCUAUAAUCUUUAUGGUGAUGAAGAUUGUCAAUGGGUCUCCGUCCUUUGGUGGGAAAUAGCGGAGGUAUUUUAUCUAUUUGACGUAAGUUCGAAGCUAAGUUUAUUUUUUCUUUUGUGGGUGAAGGGUUGGAGUGUGCGUAGAUUGGAGGGUUACUCGGAAGAAGUGUUUUAUUAUCAACAUGUAUUCUAAAUGUGAUUUGGUGGCAAAGAGAAGGUUGUCGGAGAAGCUUGUUUUUCUACGGAACUACUUGGGUGUAGGUGCUUGGUAUUUUAUUGGUGACUUUAAUGCGGCGAAUAGUAGGGAAGAAAGAAGAGGUGUUAAUGGGGUGACGAGUGUGGAGUUGCGAUAAGAGAUUACCUUAUUUAAUGAGGUUGUUAAAGAUUUGGAGGUGGAAGAUGUGAAUCUUGUGGGCAGGAAGUUUACUUGGUUUCAUCCAAAUGGUCUAUUUAUGAGUCGAGUAGAUAGGGCUUUGGUAUCAGAGAAGUGGGGGAAGUAUUGGGGUAUUUGAUUUCUUUGGGCGCUUCCUCAAUAUGUGUCUGAUCAUUGUUCAUUGGUGUUGAAAACAGAUACUACCGAUUGGGGCCCAAAAUCGUUUCUGUUCAACAAUCAUUAGCUUGAAAACUGGAAGUUUAAGAAGGUGGUGGAGAGAGCUUGGGGGAACCACAAUGGGAGUGGUUGGAUGAGGUUUGUGUUGAAGUCCAAGUUGAAGGGUUUGAAGGGGGAUAUUAAAGAGUGGAAUAAGGCAGAGUAUUGGAAUAUGGAGAUGAGGUUAGUGAGUUUAAGGGAGGAUAUUGAGGAAUUGGAUGCUAAGAGUGAGAUGGGAAUAUUGACUAUGCAAGAAGUAGGGGAUAGAAUGUUGAAGUUUGCGGAGUUGUGGAGGUUGUGGAAGAGUAAGGAGGCUAUGUUGCUACAAAGGUCUAAAUCAAAGUGGCUUAAAGAGGGCGAUGCAAAUUCAAAGUACUUCCAUAAGUGCAUCAAAUCUAGGGCUCCUAGAAAUGGGAUUAAGACAUUAAAUGUGGGCAACAAAUGGGUGUACGAAGUAGGAGAUUAGAAGGGAGGUGGUGGAUAACCAAGUUGUUUGGGCUCCAGUGGCAAGGAGCUCCUUCCAAGGACGUACCCGGGGAAUACUGGGUUCGAUUCCCAAGGGGAACAACGCUUGGCCAGUGCGCAUGCCUCUACACAUGAGCCGGAUUAGUCGCCCACCUUUGGUGGAUCGGAAACUGGUGCGAAAGCCAAAAAAAAAAAAAAAGGGAGGUGUUGGAUUCUUUUGCGAAUCAUGGGUUCAAUUAGGGUUACAAAGAAUGAUCUCAGACCUCAUCUCUAAGAAAAUUAGCUAGACAUAGUUAAAGGAAUAAACAACAUAGUAAAGAAAAUAAACCGAUAGAGUUCCGUCGUUGCCGGCUUUACUCCUCAAUUUCUCUUCCUCGUGCUACUGUUGAUGUUGUUUUUCUAUAACCAUGUGCCUCCUAGCCGUCUUGUGAUGCGUGCCUCUCUUUUCUUUCCCAAUCAUGAAUCUCCGUAAUGCUCCAAAAGCGUGAUGUGUGCCAAAGCGUGAAUGAAUUGCAACCUGAAUAGUUUGGCCUCUUUUAUAAUGUUUCAAACCUAAGUUCUUUCUUUUCCUCCAAGCCUAAUCACGUUUUUCUUUCUUUUGAUUUGCUAAGCCCAAUAUAUUUUUCUCAUUACUUUUUAUUGACACCACCCAAUGAUUUACAACUCCUCCUUAUUUGGCUCUUUUGUAUCAAUCAUAUUUUCUCUUGCUUUCAUUUAUUUCCUUGUGCCACAUGUUCCUGAAAUCGUGUCACGAAAUAGCCAUCGUGACACGUUUUAACCAAUGUCGAAUGAACCUCAUCCUGUGCUCCAAAUCGUGACACGUUUUCGACAAUCGUCACACGAUUUUGCUUUCUUCAAAAUCUUCUAUUUCUCUUGCUUUCUUUGUUGUUUAAGCUUGUUUGUGAACUCAAAAUAUCAUGAAAAUGACACUAAAAACAGUGAAUGACUGACUGUAAUCAUCUAUUUUACUUAUACUAUAUUAAAAAUAGACUAAUGAUUAAUAAAAAUAAUUUACUUAAAUUAUUUUUAAUAUUUUUAGUCUUAUAACUAAUUUAUACGGCGUCAAAAUUAUAACUAAUUUAUAAGACAAUUUCAUAUGUGCUUUGAGUCGUUUUUUUGUUGUUGUAUGAAUGUGUAAUUUGGCAAACUAAGACAUCUCAUGGAAGUUGCGAAAGCUAGAGAAUCAAGUACAAUGAAAAUUUAAAGACAAAACAAUUCGGGGGAAUUUUGUCUCAAGUCCCAAUCUCAUAUCAAGGAUUAAAAAACGCAUGAAGAAUGAAACACAUAAGAGAUUUUGCAUAUGAUCAAUGCGUCUCACACAUUGACUACAAAGCAUGAACCUUGCAUACACAGAGAAUAGUAAUUAAACUAUGAAUACAUUUCGCCCAACAAGGACAUAGAGAGGAUUCAAAUAAUUAUAGUCGUCGUCAUUACUCUGUUAACAACAAAAGAGCAGUUAAAUCGAAAAGUAAAUAUUUUUUGUAGAACAGUUAAAUAGUUAAAUGUAAAAGUAAAUAUUUGUGUUAAAUAUGAUUUUGGUCCUUAUAAAUAUUCAAAAUUUUGUUUUAAAUACUCUACAGAAUAAAAUCACAUUUUUUAAUUUCUAUGACAUUUUGCUUUAGCAUUUAAAAUAAAAUAAAAUUGGCAGAAAAUUUUACAGGACAACAAAUGCUGACAAAUUUUUUUACAACAAUUAAAAGUGUUGAUGGAAAAUUGUAUAUGACUAAAAAAUGCAAUUUUAUUUUAUAAAAACUAAAAAUAAAAUUCUAAAUAUUUAUGGGGACAUAUAGUUUUAGUUUUAAAUAUUAUUGCUAUUAUUAGUUAAAUUAAAGUACCCUCAAUCCACUCAAAAAAAAGUGUACCCAAAAAAAAUUAAAAUACCAUCAAAAAAUUAGUUUAAAUAAAGUUUAACUUUUAUCACAAAAAGCGAAAAGAAAAGCUCGUUAUAUUAUUAUUAUUUUUCUAAAUAAUUUUUUUUUUGAAAGGAAAGAAAGAAAAACAAUUGAGAGGAGGAAAAAAUUUAUUAUUAGGUUUUUAAAAUCUCAUUUUUUUUUGAGAAAAAAAAAAACGAAAGCUUCUUACUUGUGAUACAAUCUAAAGCCUUAUCAGUAGAGGUGGACAGUCGGUCAGUUAGCAUUUUUCAUUCAUAGAAAUAUAAUUACUAAACACAGCAAAAAAAAAAAAAAAAACACAACAAAUUAUAUUCAUAGAAACAUAAUUACUCAACAAAAAAAAAAAAAACAGCACAUUUACAAAUUCCAACUCACUGUUAUCAAAGAUUAUAGUAUCAUUUCCUUCUUCAGCCUCCAUCUCUAGUGUUUCCAAAAGCCAAUGAACCCUAAACAAAAACAAGUAAAAAAAAAGAUUUAAUUAGAAAUCUUAAGGGUGAAAAUAAAUAUAAAAAAAGUAUAAACAUAUGAACAAAUGUGAUUAGAGCUUACAAACCUUUGAGAGAUCUUAAAAACUGAAUUGAGAUUCGGAUUUAUGUAACAAAAAAGAAAGGAAGGUUGAAAAUCUUGAUUAACAUAGUUGUUUGUGAUUUUUGUUUGAAUUUUUUUGUGGAAAAUGGAAGAAGAUGAACGAUUUUGUGAUUUAUGAUUUGUGAUUUAUGGGUUUUUUUUAGGCUUAAUUACACUUUUGGUCCUUGCAUUUUGACCAACUCACGAAAUUGGUCCUACCUCUUUUAAAUCGAACAAAAUCGUCCCUAAACUAUAUGUUUUUUUGCAGUUUUAGUCAUAUCUCCCUAUUUCCAACUCCAAAAACGCACAGAAAUGACAGUUUUAAUCCAACCGCCUAUGCUCAACCAUGAAAUAAACAAGGAAUAAAUCAUGUGGGUACAAAGAAUGUACUUUGUUCAGCACACUAACCAAGAAAAACCCUAAUUUCUAAGACAUGUUUCAGGUAUGUAACAUGUCUCAGAAAUUAGGUUAGUGUGCUGAAUAAAGUAGAUUCCUUGUACCCACAUGUUUUAUUCUUUGUUUAUUUCAUGGUUGAGCAUAGGUGGUUGGACUAAAACUAUCAUUUAUGUGCGUUUAUGGAGUUGGAAAUAGGGAGAUAGGACUAAAACUGCAAAAAACAUAUAGUUUAAGGACGAUUUUGUUCGAUUUAAAAAAGAUAGGACCAUUUUCGUGAGUUGGUCAAAAUGGUAGGACCAAAAGUGUAAUUAAGCCUUUUUUUUUUUUAUGAUGUUUGAUUUGAAGGAAAAAACAAUUUCUGAUGUAUGGAAGGAAAGCGGCCGCAACAGACAUGAAUAAGAGAACUAGGGUUUCAUGUUCUCACUAACUAUAUAUAUGUGGGUUGAACUGGACUGGAUCUUGGGCUGGAUAUUAGUGAUCUAAUUAUGGGUUGUACUCAGUUUGGAACAGUUUUCUGUGGGUUGUAAUUACAACCCGUAACCAACCAAUAAUAGCCACCCAAACCAUUGCAACUGAACCGAAUUAACCACUUAACCGCUCCGGCCCGACCCGUUACAUUUCGGCCCACCCGGUUUCGGCCGGCUUUAAAAACCUUGUCCAACCCUACUUACCACCAAUCGCCAAAGCUGUUCGUCACUGCCGUUUCUUCAUAACUUUUUUCUUCUCCAAAAACUUUCAGGUAACAUUUAAUUGUUAUUCGAAUUUUUGUUUUUUUGCUUCUUUAAUUUGAUUUUAGGGUUUCAUUUCUUACUGUGAUUUAUAGUUUUAAAUUUUUAGGGUUUCGUCUUAAUUCUUCGAUUUUUACAUUUUCAUAUGUUCAUAUGAUCAAUUUUAUUGUUUCGUGGCUUUUUAUUUUAUUUUAUUUUUUUAGAUUGUAUGUUUUUAGGGUUUAACAUUGCUUGUUUAAAGCUACAAUUUGUAUUGUUUCAUCGCUUCUUUAAUUUUAUUUUUAGUGUGUUAGGUUUUAGAUUUUUGGUGUUUAAAAUUACUUGUUCAAAGAUACAAUUUUUAUUAUGCCAUCGCUUAUUUAAUUUAAUUUUUAGGGUUAUAGGUUUUAUAGCUUCAACUUUUAUUAUUUCAUUGCUUGUUUAAUUUUAUUUUUAGGGUUUUGGUUGAUACAAUUUUCGAUAGUGUCUUCUUCGAUCGGUACGGUAUAUAUGAUCAUAUUAAUUUGAAUGUAACAUUUUUAAUUUAUUGCAAUUAUUUGUUAUCAUAAUGGUGUCCCUGAACUACCCCGUGCACGAGGUUUUCUCAAGUUUUUGUUUGUUUUCUUUUUUAAAGCUCUUCAAAAAUUUAAUGAGUUUUUGAAUUUUAUGCAGGUCAAUUCGAUUCCAUAUCAACACAACGAUUUGUUAUCAUCGUACAAAAACCUGUUAUCACAAUGUAUUCUUCCAAAUAUUCAUGAGUAUAAUGGGGUGAGAAGUCUCCCACUGGAGUUACAUCCAGUGGUGUUACCUCUCAUUAAUCAUUAUCCUAUGAGAAGCAUGAUUGCUCAAGCCCAUAGGAGCUGAGAAGACAACGUGUAUGGUUCUUGCUUCCCUAAAUACCAUAGAUCAUGUUGUAUAUUCUCCUGAGGCUCUUAUUAUAUGUCUGACUCAAGAUUUGGCCAUCAAGGUGUGUUUUUAACAGUAUAUCAUUAGUUCUUAUUUGACAUUAUCAUGGUUGAAUAAUUACAACAUCAUUCGUAUAUUUACAGUGCUUGGAUUGUAUUAAAAUUAUAACCAAUCUUACUGGAGUUACAUCAUUCUCUACAUUGCCAAAGGUUGGACGACUCUGGAAAGCUGGGCAGAACAAAGGUAAGUUUUUUAAAAUGGCAACUUAGUUUGUUUUGUAUAGUAAACUACUUGAAUCAUAAGUUGAAUUUCAGCAUGGUUGUGAAGAUUAUGCAUCUCAUGUUGUAUUUUUUAAGUCAUGCUUUAGGUUAAAAUGGUAUUUGUGCCUAUCAAAAGCUUGAAAGGGUCAUCCAUCAAUGGCUGGAAUUUGCCUCACAUGUCCAGUAUUUGGGUUUAUAACUGGUCCUAAGAUCAGACAUCGACUACUUGUUUAGAUAAACAACUUAUUUGCAGCUUAUAUCACAAGUGCUUAUCAUGAUAUGCCCUUACGUCUAAGCUUACGUAAGUUGUUUCUAUAUUAAAAGAUAAAAUAAUGUUAAAUUAUUUCAUGUAUAUGCUAUAAGUUGUUUGGUAAGUUAUCUUGAAGAACUUGUCGAAAUAAGCUGAAAGAAGCUUAUAAAAAAUGUCAUAAAUUGUCUCAUAAAACUUAUGCCAUUACACAAACUCAAAUAAUUGCAGUGAAUGAUGAAAAUUUAAGAUGAAAAAGUGAAGAAAAAGAGUGUCUCCUUGGAUUGUCUUAUCUUUGAGCUUAUGAAAAAUAGCUUAUACAAAUAAAUAAGUUUUUUUUUGUUAAUUCAUAAGUUUUCACUAACAAAAAUUAUAUCAUAAUAAGUUUUUUUUCAUAAACUACUUUGCCAAGCCAUAAAUAACAUAUAUAAACUUGUUUAUUUGCAUAAGCUAUUUUGCAUAUAUUCAAAAAUAAGUCAAUUCAAACGAACCCAUACACAAACACUAAUAGAUAGGUAGAUAAAUAUAUAGAUAUAUUUAAUCAAUUUGAACAAAUUUAUAAGUAUAAGUAUACUUAAAGGUUGAAUGAAACCUUAGAAGAAAAAAACUAUGCAAACUUGACAGAAAAAAUAUUGCACAUAUCAGACUAAGUUUAUGGUAUAAUAAUACAUACAAUACUAAGAUGUGCACCAAUUAUUCUUAAUGUUAAGUAUCAAAAAGUUAAAAGGUAACCAUUUUUAGUACUCAUGUGUUCACAAAAGUGUCUUUUAUUUUACGCAUUUGUGGAAAAAGAAAAAAAAAAAGAAUAAAUAAAUGAACACAAAUGACAGUAAAAAUAAAUAAUUAACUUUGUUGAUAUUCCCCGUAUAAUUUCAAAGUUGUAAAUUAUGUUUUAUAUUUUUUUUCAUAAAAUAAAGGAACAUUAUUAAAUCUUAUGCAAUUAUUUAUAAAAAUUAAUUCAGUUAUUAGAAGAAGAAAAAUAAUGAAUUAAAAGUGUGGUUAAACACCACGAUGAAACUUAAACGUUCCAACUUUGUUGGCACUUCCAAAAAAUCUAUUUUAUAUGUUACCCACUAAUAAAUUUAUUAAAAGAAAAAAAAAUUGUAUUUCUAAAGUGAAUAAUCAGUAAAAGAGAAUAAUCAGUAAGCAUGUCAUCACAUUAGAUAUGAAUCUAAUAAAAUAAAUACCACAAAACUCUUCCAUGAAUAUGAAAAAAAAAAAUCGCAUUUGAAUGACCAUAUUAAAUCAUAAAUUAAAAUUUCCGUUAUAUGUAACAAUUAUUAACAUUCUGCAUUAAAGAAUUCAUCUUAAGAUUUAUCAUAAACUUUUUCAGACAUCUCCCUAUCAAUAACACUUUCAAAUAUUCAAAUUCAACCAUCAUCUUUGCUCAAAUUCUUCAAUAUUUAGUUCUAAUAAUGCAACAUUAAAUAAAUUAAAUUCCUAACCAAAUUCCCACGAGUCAACUAGCAAACUUUUGAAUGAGUAUUGUUUUAGACUUAGUAUCGAACUAAACAAUUUAUGAACAGAAAAUUGACCAUAGAACUGCAAUUCAAGAUCUGAAAAAGAAUAUAAGCAAAAGGUUCACUCAUGCUACCAAAUAUUAAUCUCUGAUCUAAAGCAUGAAUCAAAUAUAAAAUAAAAAAAUAAAAAUAAAAAACACAAAUCAAGAUAAACUAAAACCCAAAAAAUAACUAUUGCUCCUCAUGUUAAAAAACAUCCCAAUAGAUUCUGAAAAAACAAAAAAUCAAUGGUUAUCUACAACAAUGUAAAAUAAAAUUACAAAUAAACAAAAAGCAUACAAUGCAAUAAUUAAUAAUAUUAAAUGCUAAACAUGCAAAAUAAUAAAACAAUCAUUUUAUUUCAACAUGGUCUUGUAUCUUUCAAAUCAUAAAACCCUCUGCCUCUUUUUGGGGCUGAAACGUUCUUCGGUCGCUGGAAUUGCAAACGAAAUUGGCAUAGGUGACAACUUUGCCAAACUGCCCAAUUCAUCCUGCAAAGGCCUACUAGGCGCUGGAGCACUUGCCGGAGUCUGCAUUGGCAACUCCUUUGCAGGCCCAGAAGACGCAUCUUUAGCGGCUUGCUUUCCAUCAAAAUGAUUUUUCAGAAGGAUUUUUACUUCCUCAGGUGUUUUCUCACAAGGUUUCACUUCUCCCUUGAUCCCUAAUUGAAGUUUUUUGGCUCUAGUGAUUCCUCCAGUUGGGUGUCCGCAAAAAUCACAUAAAAUUAUUUUUUUACUCUCAUCUUUGUAAGAACUCCAUCGCCAACCAAUAUCAGUGGAUUUACGAUGAAUAGGUUUAAAAUAACCCUUGGCAGUUGGUGUUAGACUUGCAGAUGAAGUUGAUGCCAUUGCAAACAAAACCGAGUAAAAAUUGGGCGAACAUAACUAAGCCUAAACAAAAUAAGAAUAAACUAUUAAAAAUGAAGCAUAACACAUAACGCAAAGAGGAAAAUCGAAGCAGAACACAAGGAAAAAAGGAUAAAACAAACCUUUACACAAAAAUAGAGCAUCAAUGAAAAAACACGAAAUAGAGAUGAAGAACGAUGGCAGGGAAGACAAAGGAACACUCAAAGAGGAAGGAACCGGGCAACAAUGUAGGCUCAAAGAGAAGAAGGAACAAAACUAGAUGCAGCAGCCACAAUUGUGCUCUUAAACACCUAAGUAAAAAAAUUAGGUCACCCAAAAUAUUAUGAAAACACUAAUAUACCCUGAAUAAAUUAAAACAAUUUAAAAAAAAAAAAUCUUUAAGAGAAUUUUCUCCCAAAACGACAAUAACAUGGUUAACAAAUUUGUUCAUGGUACUCUCUUAAACGACAAUAACAUGGUUAACCAUGUUAUUUUCGAUUUGGGAGAAAAUUCUCGUAAAUAUUAAUUUUUUAAAUUGUUUUGAUUUAUUCAGGGUAUAUUAGUAUUUUCAUAACCUUUUGGGUGACGUAAUUAUCUUACCUAGGUGUUUAAGAGCACAAUUGUGGCCACUGGAUCUUGUUUUGUUCCUUCUUCUCUUUGAGCCUACAUUUCUUCCCAGUUUCUUCCUAUUUGAGUGUUCCUAUGUCUUGCUCUGCCAUCGUUCUUCAUCUCUAUUUCGUGUUCUGUCAUUGAUGCUCUAUUUUUGUGUGAAGGUUUGUUUUAUCCGUUUUUUCCCUGUGUUCUGCUUCGAUUUUCCUCUUUGCAUUGUGUUUUCUGCUUCAUUUUUAAUAGUUUAUUCUUGUUCUGUUUAGGUUUAGUUCUGUUCGCCCAAUUCUUACUCGGUUUUGUUUCAAUGGCAUCAACUUCAUCUGCAAGUCUAACACCAACUGCCAAGGGUUAUUUUAAACCUAUUCAUCAUGAAUCCACUGAUAUUGGUUGGCCAUGGAGUUCUUACAAAGACGAGAGUAAAAAAACAAUUUUAUGUGAUUUUUGCUGACAUCCAACUGGAGGAAUCACUAGAGCCAAAAAAAAACAUCAAUUAAGGAUCAAGGGAGAAGUGAAACCUUGUGAGAAAACACCUGAGGAUGUAAAAAUCCUUCUGAAAAAUCAUUUUGAUGGAAAGCAAGCCGCUAAGGAUGCGUCUUCUAGGCCUGCAAAGGAGUUGCCAAUGCAGACUCCGGCAAAUGCUCCAGCGCCUAGAAAGCAUUUGCACGAUGAAUUGGGAAAUUUAGCAGAGCUAUCACCUAUGCAAAUUUCGUUUGCAAUUCUAACGACCGGAGAAUUUUCUACCACAAAAAGGGGUAGAGAGUUUUAUAAUUUGAAAGAUACAAUACCAUGUUGAAACAAAAUGAUUGUUUUAUUGUUUUGCAUGUUUAGCAUUUAAUAUUUUUAAUUAUCGCAUUGUAUGUUUUUUGUUUGUUUGUAAUUUUAUUUUACAUUUGAUGUAGAUAACCAUUGAUUUUUUUUGUUUUUUCAGAAUCUGUUGGAUGUUUUUUAACAUGAGAAAUAGUUAAUUUUUGGGUUUUAGUUGAUUUGCUCUUGAUUUGUGUUUUUAUUUUGUUUUUAUAUUUGAUUCAUGCUUUAUAUCAGAGAUUAAUAUUUGGUAGCAUGAGUGAACCUUUUGCUUAUAUUCUUUUUCUGAUCUUGAAUUGCAUAUGUAUGGUCGGUUUUCUGUUGAUCAGUUGUUCAGUUCGGGACUAUGUCUAAAAUAAUACUCAUUCAAAAGUUUUCUAAUUGACUUUUGGGAAAUUGGUUAGGAAUUUAAUUUAUUUCAUGUUGCAUUAUUAGAACCCAAAAUUGAAGAAUAUGAGCAAGGGUGAUGGUUGAAUUUGAACAUUUGAAAGUGUUAUUGAUAAGGAGAAGUUGAAAAAGUUUAUGAUAAAUCUUAAGAUGAAUUCUUUAGUGGAGAAUGUUAAUAAUUAUUACAUAUGAUGACAGUCAGUCAUUUGCUAUUUUUAGAGUCUUUUUAUGAUAAUUUUGAGUUCACAAGCAAGCUUAAACAACAAGGAAAGCAUGAAAAAUACAAGAUUUUGAAGAAACAGUUGUUUUGAUGUUUUUAUUGAGUCUGUAGCAAUUUUAGACAGCAUGGGGGUGUAAAACGCAGAAAUUCUGGAAGUGCUGGAAAUUGGCAACCGUGGCGCGAUUUUGAGUGGCUUGGCGCGAUUUUCUGACCAGAAUGAAGGUUUGGUUCUGCCACAAAAAUCGUGGUACGAUUUCUGGUGGCGUGGCGCGAUUUUUCAGAAUCGUGGCGCGAUUUUAUGAGGCGUGGCGCGAUUUUAUGAGGCGGGGCGCGAUUUUGGAGCAGAAAAUGUUGCCUAUUUAAGCUGAAGACUAUUCUGAAAACAAGGGUUACGAUUUUGGAGAGCUAAAGUGCGAUUUUAACACCCAGAAGACUGCAGAAGGGGCGAUUUCAUCAUCUCUAAUCCAGUUUAUGUAUGUUUUAAUUUUUCCAUUGAUUAUGCUAUUUGUAAACUCAAUUAUGAGUAGCUAAAUCUCUUAGAGAUUAGGUCUGAGAUGAUUCCUUGUAACCCUAAUUGAUCCAUGUUGCUGUGAAACUCUAUUUAUUAUUAAUGACAAUCUAGUUUUUAUUCAAUUCAAUUGUUCUUAAUGCUUUUUAUAUCAUGAUCAAAUAUAAACAUGAUUUAGUGAGAACGAAUGACUACUGACCCUAGCUUUCGACUUUGACCUAAUUGAAUUGUUCUAAUAAACAUGGUUAGUCUAGGAAUGGAUAAUCAUUUGUUAGUGAUAUUAGGUUAAGGUGCUUUAAACCUUCGAGAAUUAUUAGACCACCUAAGGAAUUAGGGGCUGUAGUUUGAGAAGAGGGUCCUAACUCAAGGGAUUGAUUAGGGCUAUUUUGUUAACUAUCGUGGAACUAGAAAAUCAUUAAUACGAAUAGGUUCAGUAUAUCAAUUAGGGGAACAUCGAUGAUUCGAAAGACCUGAUCUCAUCUCUCUCCUUGUCUUUUCCAAAACUAUCUCAUUUUCUGUUAUUUAAAUUUAUGCAAUCAAAACUACUGCCUCGGGCACUAAAAGAAAUUUACACAUCCUAGAUAUUAACGUUAUUGCUAAAUUGAGAUUAACACAGUCCUCGUGGGAACAAUAUUUUUACUACUUCGAUAGUAUUUGGUACACUUUCCAAAAUUUCUAUCAACAUAUAACGAUAGUUUUAAUUUAUGAUUUAAUAUGGUCAUUCAAGUGCACAAUUUUUUUUCAUAUUCAUGAAAAAGUUUUGUGGUAUUAUUCACUUUAUUAGAUUCAUACUGUGAUGACAUGCUUACUGAUUAUUCUCUUUAGUGCAACAAAAACAUGCACUAAAGAAAAGAAAUUAAAGAACCCAAAGAUUAGACGUUGUUGAUCAACCUUCACCAUUAAAGCGAGUGUUAUAGGCAAGCAUAAAUGUAAUAAGGAUUUAAAGUUAGGAUCUAUUUGUAUUUCUAACAUAUAUAUUAUUUAUUCUCACAUUACAAACAUGAUUCAAAGGGACUUAUUGAAUACAUGAAGAAUGAAAAGAAUAUAUAUUUUUUGAAAGAUAUAAAAGUGGAUCAUGUAUGUAGUUGGUAUUGUUGCUUGUGAUUUGAAUACAUGAAGAAUGAAAUUCAUAUUUAAUACACAAAGAAUGUGACAUAUUGUAUUAUUUCAAAAAAUAUAUUGGUGGUUCAUGCAUGUAGUUUGUGAUUGAAAAAAAAAUCAAUUGUAUGUGAUUUAUCUAAAUAGCAUUUGUUAGGGACGACACAACACAUAUUGAGGCCUAAAGCAAAUUUUAAGAUAAGACCCUUUUAAAUUUCGUAAUAGUACUUCAAUAAAAUUAAAUUUAUUUUAAUUUUAACUACAUUUUUCCAGACAUUUUAGAUGCAAAAUCAUGUAUUAAACUGAUAUGAUCAAUUUCAUUUGAUAUUUAUUUUUCUAUCGAUGAUAGAAUUAACCGGUUUAAUCUUUAUUGACUAUAUUAAUUUUAGUAGAAUGUGAGACAUUUUUCAAUUAACUUUUUUGUUUUGACAAAAUCAAGUAAAUUUUUAAAAAUAGUAGAAUAUAAAGUCUUUUUUAUCAUGUAAUUAUAUUUUAAUAUUUUUUUAGGCAUAUUGUAAUUGCAUUGGUGGCCUUUGUCCUUGAGCCAGCUGUAGCAAUUGUACUUCAGAAUUUAUUAAAAUAUAUAAUUUUAAGUUUUUUUUGUAUAAUUUAAAAUAUUAUAACAUGUUAUAGUUUUGAGUUUAGAUUCAUAGCAAUUUGAAAUUAUAUAUGCAUAUUUUUAUUUUGGUGUGUGAAUAUUUACAUUUUGUAUCAACUAUAUUCAAUUGUAAUUUCUUUAUUUUGAUUCACUCUAGUUGUAAUCCUCCUGCAAAGUAAGACACAUAUAUGUAGGAUAGUCUGCAAACGUGCAAAUACCACAAAACUUCUAGUCCUUAAAUACUGAAAUCACUCAGAAUUUAUGCAACAUAUAUCCAGUGUAAACACGUACAAAAAUGAUAAUUUUAUUUUAAACUAAAAGAAACAAAAUCAAAAACCUGAAAUCACACUUAUUUUAAUUUUAUAUGUAUCAGUGUCAUUGUCCUCUGCUUUGGACAUUAGUUGUGGCUCAGUUCAUUUUUUUAUUGAUAUAAAAUGCUUGUUUACUAGUUUUGUUUAAGAGUUUAAUAAGCACGAACUAUAAGUGUAUAUAAGUUUAGUUCAGUUCGGUUUAUUUCAGUAGCUAAAAAUUGAUUUCGUUUGAUUUUUUUAUAUUUUUUUCAACGGUAUUAAUAAUAUAUAUAUAUAUAUAUAUGAGGGAUCAAAUUUAACCGCUUUAAAGUUACACCAAUGUUACACCGCUUAAUAUUGUUUUACUCUAUGCAUAUUUUUUAAAUUUGAGCGUUGGAUUGUAGGUUUAUAUCACAUAGAUCAUCCACGUAAAUCUUCACGAAAAUCUAAAAUCGUUUCAUAUGUUAAUAAGAUACAUCAAGAUUAACGGUUUAUGCACUUUUAUAGAACACAGUUAAUCUUAACGUAUCUUAAUAAACUUUAGAUUUUCGUAAAAAUUUACGUGGAUGAUCUAUGUGAUAUAAACUUACAAUGCAACGGUCAAAUUUAAAAAAUAUGCAUCGAGUAAAACGAUAUUGAGAAGUGUAACAUUGAUGUAACUUUUAAGCGGUGUAAUUUGAUCCCUCCUCAUAUAUAUAUAUAUAACUUGUCAAAAAAUAGUGUAAAGGGACAUUCCUUUAUUAUUUGGAAAAAUUACUCUUAUUGUCCCUUAAUGUAAUUUCAGAUAACAGUUCUGUCUUUCUUAAUAUUUUUUACGUCAUAUUUGAUGUAGUAUUAAAAGUAAGUAUGUUUUUAUAUAGUCUCUUCAAGGAAUAGUGCGAUCCCAUAAACCGUUCAACAUCGAUUAUCAUUUUAAGUUAGGGUUUAAUUGAUUGAUUGUUGUAAAACUGUGUGAACUAUAAUACAAUAAUAAAAAUGGAGAGUAAUAAGGCGUAAAAGCGUUGGGAUUAGAGGAUCAGAGCUCGCCAUGGUGAGAAAAUAUUGCCUGGCGAGCUGUGGAUGAUCUAAAAAUGAACUCGUUGAGGUAAGCUUUACUGUAUUCCAUAUUAGUCGGCCUCAAUUCAAUUAAUCUAAAAAUCUUAUUUUGUUUACUUUGUCAUGAUUGUCACAAUACACAUAUUUUAAAACAAUUCGAUCAAUAUUGGUGAGAACUCACGUAGUAAAAUGAGUGAAUAGGCAAAAAAAACUUCGAAAUUGUAACUUUUCGUCAAAAUCAUUACUGACUUUUACGAAAUUUCAAAAACUUUCAUGAAAUCGUCAAACGUUAGUCAAUUACCCCCUUCCGUUUAUUUUGAUUGUUAAACCUUGUGACGCGACAAUUAUCUGUACUUGUGAGACCUCGCUGAACCUUGUGCCAUCCCUACUAUAAACGAUGUGUGCCUUGAAUUAAGGAUGAGCAAUGAAUGAGCAUUGGCAAAUUGCAAGAUGUGUGGUCCUACGAUUACAAAUGAAGUCCAAAUACAAGUAUUGAGAUUUUCUUUGAUACUACUUCCUAUUUCAGUUCAUGUAACCACAAAAUAAAUACCCCCAAAAAACCAAAACCAUGUGCCUUUUUUUCCCACCAACAAUACAUCGCCAACACAGCCUCUUGUUUUCCUCACAAACUUAAUGGAGUCAUCUAGUCUAGUCUAGUCUAGUAAAAACAAAACUUUAAAGAAUCAGAUGAUAUAUUUGAUCUCUUUUUUACACACAGAAAAAGAUUCAAAAAUAUUUGGAAAAGUUUAAAUAUUUAAUUGAGAUAGAGGUGAGGUGAAGUAUACAUAUAUCUGAAAACCGUAGCUCCUGGUUUUGUUAUAUUCUUUGGGCGUCUUUAAACUUCUAUAUAUAAUAAUUUCCUUCACUCUUCUAGCUCAACCAAAACACAUGAUACCACUUCAAGUAAGCAAUUUUCUUUGUCAUCUAAAAAGCUACAAAAUCACUUGAAUUAGACAAGAUGAGUUCAACAAGCAGAGCAUGGGUAGCUGCAGGCAGUGUUGCAGUUGUGGAAGCAUUAAAGGAUCAAGGAAUAUGCAGAUGGAAUCAUACCCUAAAGUCAGUUCAAAAUCAUGUCAAAAAUAAUGUCAGAUCGUUUUCUCAAGCAAAAAAACUUUCAUCUUCUUCCUCUUCUUCUGCUAUGGUUUCUAAUGCUAACAAACAACAAAAAGAGAAAGCAAAGGAAUCAGAAGAAUCUUUGAGGAAAGUCAUGUACUUGAGUUGUUGGGGUCCUAAUUAAGAGGAGCUUUGGUUGUUGCAACAGAUGUGGGACCGAUGGAAACAUUGAAGGAUCAAGGGUAUUGCACUUUGAAUGGGUUCCUUAGCUCAUCAUGCCAAGAAAGUACUAUCUCCUACUUCUUCAACAAUUUCCAAAAAGCUCAUGAGUGAUGAGAAGAGGAAAGUAGAGGAGUCUUUGAGACCCUUUCUGUUCUUGAGCAUAUGGAGUCCAAAUUGUAAGAACAAAAAAUGGAAACAAAAUUAGCAAAAUUCAACAUCACAGAAAAAUUUGCAAUAAUAUGUAAAUCUGUUGAAACUUGAGAGCUGAGUGCUCAAAAGUUAAAAUAUCACUUUCAUUAUGUAAAAUUGCUAUCAAAUAAAAAAUUUACGUGCUUAAUUUGUUGAAAAAAAUUUGUAAUGUGAAUUUAGUUUCUAGAAAAAACCAUGUCAUUUAACUUGUUUUUUAAUCCCACUGUUGUGAAAGUGCCUCAAAAUUGAAGAAAUUCACCGAUUUUCAGAGCACGGUGGCCGAUUUUCAACUCUGCUUUUUUUGUCUGUUGGUUCAGCAAAAAUCAGUGGCCGAUUUUGACAGUAGAAAAUAAAACAGAAACGUAUUUUCGGGCCUAGAUUUAUUCCAGUUUUAUUGAGGAUUUUUUUACUAUAAAUAUAGACAUUGUAUCGGUGUAAACCUGGAGAUAGAGGGGGUUGGAACAAGGGUUUAGAAAGGCAACAACAAAACUAGGGUUUUGUAGAGAUAGAGGGGGCUGAAACAAGGGUUUAGAAAGGCAACAACAAAACUAGGGUUUGUGUAGAGUUUGUCUCUUGGAAACAAACACUAGGGUUUGAGGGUUGAUUCACCAUGGUAAACACUAUUAGGAUUGAGUCUCUUGGUAUUGGGGGCUUUGGGUAGAAUUAGGCGGGAGACUUAUUUUUGUAACCUUCUCUUUCUUUUCUUUCGCUGUUUUCUACUUUUAGCUUGUGAUUAUAAUUGUUCCAUACACUUUGUUUUGGUUGCUUGAUUAUUCCUUGCUCCAUACAUCAAAUUUGUUAUUGGUGUGAUUUUACAUCAAAUUCACAAUACCCACAAUACUAAAUGAAUAUUGGACACUUGACAUUCUAAGUUAGUGUUCUGAAUCCAAUCUAUUAAAUUGUAAUCUGAAUCAUGCAAUUUCAUAAUAAUUAGAAUGAAUUUGAGGUUGAUAAAAAUGAAGAAUUGCUACUAAAAGAUCAGCCUCCCCUGUUGCUAAAUUAACACAAACCGAAUCCAAUGACCAAAACAGUCCUAAAUUCGACAUUCACGCUCAGCCAAUGAUGCAGACUGAUUAACACCGACGGCUUGCUAGAUAACUAUUUCCAUAACAGUCAUUUUAUUUCUUCAAACCAAGUCUCCGUUGAUCUAUUGCGACAUUUCCACAAUAUCCAGAUGCAUAUGUAAGUUCAACGCCAUAAAAAUGCAUAUGUAAGUUCAACGCCACUUUUAUGAAGCUAAAAAUUCUAACUUCAACCUACAAUGAGUUUAUACAGAGGAGACAAUUCUCACCUUAUGAACCAAUUUUUAAGGUGAGGAUUGUCUCCUCUAUAUAAACUCAUUGUCCUAUCCGAUGUGGGACUCUUAACACAAUUAUUAUUUCUUCAAAAAUUAUUUAUAUAUAUUUAUCUUUCAAUUAAAUUCUCACACCUUAUAAUUAUCCACACAUAGGUCCGUGUACCAAAUUUCAGCUGCACCAAAUUAUACCUCAUCACCUGCUGGGUUUUUACAACAAACAAUGGUUUUAGGCACUUUGCUCACACAUUCCAAACCGUGGUUCCGUACAGUCCUAAACGAUUCUAUAACUACAACAUUAUAAUUUUGUCACUUACAUGAGCAACAAUGAGCACCUAGUGCAAUUUGCAUGGUCCUACAAUUACAAAUCAAGUCUAAAUGUAGGGAUUGAUAUAUUUUAUUGAGAAAUGAUAUUUGUACAACUAUUUUAGUAUAAUUUUUUGACAACUUUCUUUCUCAUACUUACAUGAUGUUAUUAUUCUCUCUCUUCCUUUUUCUCUCUCCAUUGUUUUUGACCAAUCAAAAGAGAGAGAAACAAAAUUGUCACCAAAGUUAUCAUUAAAUGAUGUACAAAUAUCAUUGCUCUAUUUUAUUAGAUACCCUAUCUAUUUCAAUUCAGCUAAUUAACGACAAAAAUAACCCACAAAACAAAAACCAUGUUCCCCUUUUUUUAUUUUCCCACCCACACGCACUCCACACAGCAUCUGGUUUUCCUCCCAAACUAAAUUAUUGUCACUUUUUCUAUCCCAACACUAUAUAUAUUAACACUACAACCUUAGCCUAUUUUCUACAUCACUACUACUACCUCAUCAACCAUUAAUCAAUAUCUCUUGUCAAAAACAACAAAAAAAAAAACAUUAAUCAAUAUCAAAUUGCUUAACACUACCUUUCUUCUUAACAAUUAAUACAAUGAGUUCAAGAAGCCAAGCAUGGAAAUGGAGUGUGGCAACAAGUGUUGGAGUGGUGGAGGCUUUGAAGGAUCAAGGAAUAUGCAGAUGGAACAGUGUUAUAAGAUCAGCACAACAGCAUUCUAAACAUAACAUGAGGUCUUUGUCUCAUGCCAACAACAAAAUUCCUUCCACAAAAUUGAGGGACGAGAAAUCCAAGCAGUCAGAGGAAUCUUUGAGAACUGUCAUGUUCUUGAGUUGCUGGGGUCCCAACUAAAGAAAGAAACAUUUUGAAUUAUGCAAAGGAAGAUCCAAUCAAACACAAGAGUUUUUGAUCAAGAUUAAUUGAGUUUGAAACAAGUGAAUGAAUCAUCCUCUUUAUUGCUUUGGAACUUGAAGUGGUCUUGGAAGUGAUUCAAUUUUUGCAUGGAUAGAAAUUUGUGUAUAUAUAGGAUUUACUAUUAUAUGAUAUGAUAUGAGAUGUAUUUUAUAUGGAGAUGACUCUUAUUAAGCUUUUAUUCAUGGAUUUAUAUAGAGUUUAAUAGCUUAUAGAAGAACAUGAGAUUUACUAAAAUUCUUAGGCUAUGUUUGGAUAUUUUAAAACGAAUGGAAUGGAGCGGAGCGGAAUAGAAUGGAGCGGGAUGGAAUGGAACGGAGCAGGAUGAAGUUUCCAUUCCAUUGUUUGGGUAUUUUAUAGAACUCAUUUUACGACGGAACGGAACAAACUUGUUUAUUCCAUUUUUACCCUUAUUUAAAAAUACUAUCAUAUAUAGAAUUGUAUAGUUAUAAUAAAAUAGUAACAAAAAUAAUAGUAGCAAAAAAGUUUUAAUUUUGUUUGAAAAAUUUGUCCAUCACGUUACCCCCACCAAUUCCAUUCGUUGCGUUUUUUACAUUUUUUUAUUUAAUUAUAAUGAACUUUCAUUGAUUUUCAUGAGUAGUUUGGCUUUGUAGAAAGGAUUUUGAUGUAUUGGACUGUCUAGUGCUAUGUAGAACAGUGUUGUAGAUCAGAAAUUUGUGGCUACCAAUUGGAAAUAAAAAAAAAACUGGGUUAAAAAGGUAAUUGUCAAAUUAAUAGACCUCAUUCCAUUCUAUACACCCCAAAUUGGGAGGAAUGAAAAUAAAGGAAGAUGAUGGAAUGGGAUGGAAUGGAUUCCAUCAUAUACCACUCCAUUCCACUCAUUUUUUAAAUAUCCAAACAAUGGAACUCUAUUAUAUACCACUCCAUCCCAUUCCAUUCCACCACAUGCCAUCAUCUUCCUUUAUUUUCAUUCCUCCCAAUUUGGGGUGUAUAGAAUGGAAUGAGGUCUAUUAAUUUGACAAUUACCUUUUUAACCCAGUUUUUUUUUAUUUCCAAUUGGUAGCCACAAAUUUCUGAUCUACAACACUGUUCUACAUAGCACUAGACAGUCCAAUACAUCAAAAUCCUUUCUACAAGUUUGGAGGGGAAGGGAAGGGAGGGGAGGGUUUUGGGGGUUGAAAAUAUAUAGAAAAAUGGACAAAAAAAUUCACAUUUUUUGAAAGAACAGUUUUUUAGAGAAUGAUAAACUAAUUCUUAUGAUUAAUAUACUUUUAAUUUUAAGAAUAUUAUAACAACAUUGAUUGGAUUUGAAAAAUUUAUAUAAACUCUCCAUAACCCCCCAAAACCCUCCCCAAUACAAUUUUUGAGUUCCCCAAAUGAGAGAGAUUUUUUAUUAUGAGUAAAAAAUUAACCUCCAAAACCCUCUCCUUUCAAUGUCUUCUAUUUCUUCUACUUGCUCCUUCAUUUUUUCCAAAAUCCUCCCCUCCAAACUCUCAAAGAAAACCUUAACAAACAUUGAAGACGAAACUUGGCAGCAAUAUACUGGAAUGAUAGAAAAUAAUCAUCGAUUUGUUAGAUUAAUAAUUGAAUUAAUAUAUACAAGAUUUAUAAGAUAUAUAAACCUUGAACAUAAAGUGGGGAGGUAUAGAAACUUGUACGAUAAAAAAACAUAAACUCGUCUAAAUAAGGAUUUUAUUUAGGUGUUAUUGACUUUUUAUAAGUUAUUAGUGUUUUGGUGUAUUUUAGAUGAGAAAAAAAUAAUAGAAGAAUUUUUAAAAUAAAUUAUUUAAAUGAGAGAGAAGGGAUUGAUUACCAUAAAGAUAGGAACAAAAUGCAUUAAAGACGUCAAAGACCAGCUACAACAACUUGCAUUGCAAUUCACUUAUGAUGAAAGCUCUCUUUUCUAUCCAAUCUCCCAAUGAGGUGAGAACAACACGAGGAUGUCAAACUUGAGUUGAUCUUCUAUCUCUUUUCUAUCCAUUUAAUACUAACUAAGUAAAAUUAAUAAUUUAGGUUUCUCUAACCAGUACCCUCAUUGUGAGGUUAAAGAUUCUACAAAUAGAAAUUUUAUCUUAAAAAUAUAAGAUAUUACUUUGAUCAAAUAAUAAUUACAUAACUUUUUCAUUAAAACGGGCUUGUUUUGGAUGUUUAACAAAUGUCAUUGGAACACUAGUUAGCAUUCUCUUAAUAAUUUUGAUGUUUUUAAAAAAUGGUGUCCUAGGUUGUCGAUGUCGUCUCUUCCGUCCACCUCAGAGCCACCACUGAAUUUAAUGAUACAAAGUUAAAAUUGAAAAAAAAAAAUUGUUGUCAAAGCCAAAAUAUAAUAUCUUGAAAACUAAAAGAAGAAAAAUUGUCACCUUUUUAAUCGUGUUUGAUUAGAGGUUUUUUUUUUUUAAUAUUUGACUAGAGGGGAUGCACAAUGAUAUCCAAAUCAUAAUUAAAAAAAAAAAAGUGAAAACAAUUUUUUUAGACACGUUUAAGAUAAGGACCCAUUAAGAUGAGUUGGAUGGAGUGAAUGUAAUGACAAAGUGGUCCAAGGUAGAUUAUUUUGUUUUACUUAAUUUCCAAAACCAGUAGAUAUAGCCUAUGGUUUCUCCAAAACCAAGGGUGUUAUUUAUCUAGCUAGCUCAUGGUAUCUUAUUUCAAUCCAUAUAAAUAAGAUUAGCCAUCACUCCUCUCUACUCCAUCAAUCAACAAUCUCAUUUUCAUAUUUACCAAACAACACUAUCUACUUCUUCUAUAUUUUGAUAUCCAAUCCAAAAACUAACAACCAAAAAUCAUGAAUCGUGCAACAGCAACAAGCAAAGCCUGGAUGGUGGCUGCAAGUGUUGGAGUUGUGGAAGCUUUGAAAGAUCAAGCUGGUAUCUGUAGGUGGAACUAUGCUUUAAGACAAGCUCAACAACACCUUAAAAACCGUGCUAAAUCAAUGUCUCAAGCAAAGAAUUUCUCUUCUUCUUCAUUUCUUGCUACCAAAUUUAAGGAUGAGAAGAAGUCCAAACAAGCAGAGGAGUCUCUAAGGACUGUCAUGUACUUGAGCUGCUGGGGUCCUAAUUGAUUAAUUUGUAAAUAUAAUUAUUAUAUUACAUAGUGAUGUUAGAUUAGAUAAACUAUGUAAAGUUUGUAAUAUCAAACGGCAAUAUUAUUCAAUGAGGAAAGUUUAUUCUUCAUAUCUUUGUUUCUCAGUGCAUACCCGAUCAGUAUUUUUUUUAUUUUUUUUUGGUAGUGAGUGUGUUAUGAUGAUCAGAUGGUAGUACUUUAAAUUUGCUAUCAACAAAAACUUACCACAUCUUGAUUAAUUUGUUCGUGAUAAAUAUUUUUGAGCUGAGUGUUUAAAAGUUAAAACAGAACUAUUGAAGUAGAUGAUUGUGUAUUAAGACCGAAUAGAUGGAGUAGUGUAAAUUUGUUAUCAAUAAAAGUAUACUAGACUAUACCAUAAUUUGUGUGAUAAAUUUUGUGAUGUGAAUUUACAUUCCAAAUUUUCUUCCAAUUUUGAAUUUGAUUGAGACAUACAAAAGAAAGAUGCUUAAUUGUUGUGGGAUAGGUUCUAGCAUCAACUUAUCACACAAAUUUGUAUUUGGUGCAAUGAAGCCAGAUGAUAUAAUUGUAGAUCAGUGCUGAAAAUGGGCAUAUUCACAAGAUCGUUUGUUUAUUUUUUAAAAAGGUGAAUGAGAGGACAAAGAUAAAGAAAAUAAGAAUGAAGAAAAUUUAGAUGAAGACCGUGUUGGUUUGACGUAUAAUAACUUGCUUCUUGUUGACGAGCAAAAUCUUGUUAAUAUUGUUGAUAGUACAUUUAAUUGGAUGAUCAAUGUUGAUACUUCAGCAUGCCAUUCUUAGAAAAGAUAUUUUCUGCUCUUAUACACUAGAUAAAUUUGGUGAUGUGAAGUUGGCUCAUGAAUGUUGUUGACUUUGGAGAGGCUAAAUUGAAAUUGUCUAAUGGUACCAAAUUAAAUUUUAAGGAUGUGAAACAAUGUUUCAGACAUUUGGUUGAAUUUAUUUUCAAUAGAUACAUGUUAUGUUAUGCUAUGAAAGUUAUGAGAACUUGUACUUGGGGGACACUUAAAAUUUACAAAUGGUUCUAUGAUUGUUGCAAGAGGUGUGGACAUGUUGUCAUAUGAUGUUUUUUCCUUAUCACUUAUCUUAAUUUUUAGUUUAGUCCUUAGUGUUUUUAGACAACUUGGAGGUAAAGAAAACAAAGAAUUAUACGAUUUUGAAUUUACAACAUUGUGACACAAUCUCUUUUAUCGUGGCACAAUUUUUGAAUCAGAAUAAGGAGUUGCUACUAACUUGUAAAUCAUGGAAUGAUUUGCAGAAUCUUGACACGGUUUUGAUAGCAUCAAACCUGAGAUUUUGAAUUUAAUGAAGCAUCAUGCCACGAUUUUGGUACAUCGUGGCACGAUUUCAGGCGCCCAAAAAUUUGUUUGUAAAAGCCAAUCAUGUUUCUGAAGCAAAGGUCCUGAAUUUUGGAGAUCUGGAAGACAUUUUUGAGCUGAUGAUUGAAGAUUUAACGAUGGCUUGCCAUCCAUGUAAUAGUCAAUCCUUAUGUAUGUAAUCAUGUUUUAUUUGAAUCGAGUUAUUGAAUCUUAGUGAUUAGGUCUUGAGAUGAAUCUGAUUUGUUCUGCUUGAACCAUGUAGGUUGUGAAAUACUAUUCUAUGUAAAUGCAAAUAUAGUUUUAUUCAAUAUAAUUGGGUGUAAUGGUUUUUAUAUCUUGAUCACAUAUUAAAUGAUUUCAGAGAUAAAUGACAACUAGUUAUAGCUUUUAAUUUGGAUCUAAUUAUAUUGUUCAAUCAAAUGGGUCAGUCUAGAGAUAGAUGAUUGUUAGGUUGUGAUAAUAUAUUCAUGUACCAUAAAGCCUUCGAAGAUUACAGGCUCACCUAAAAGAUUAGGGGGAUGUAAUCUUAGAAGAGAAUCCCAAGUCAAGAGAUUGAUCAGAGCUAUUUUGUUAAUUAUCGUAAAACUAGAGAAAUAUUUAUAGGAUUUAAGUGUUGUCUAUCAAAUAGUGACGAUUAGGGAAUUCUAAAGACCUAAUCAUAUUUCUCCAACUAUCUUUACACAUUGUUAUUUAGUUCAUGCAAGUUAAAUCAAUCCAAUUGCCCCGUACAUCCCACAUUUUAUACAUCCAACAUUAUAACGAAAUUGUUGAAUUAAGAUUAACGCGGUCUCGCAUAAAUGAAUAUUUUAUUGCUUUAAUAGUUUUAGUACACUUAAUAAAAGUCUAUCAAGAGGUAUGAAGUAUUCACGAUUUACAAAGUACAUGCAAAAAUAAUUAAAAAUGUCAUAUACUUCAAUAAUAGUUGAGCUAUGACAUAGAGACUCCACUUAUGUUUAGUAAGGUGAGAAUAUUACUACAUUGGUCAAUUUAAUUAGAGUAGUGAUAUUUAAACAACUCUUUUAGUAUAACUUUUGAAACAACCUUGUUGUGUUCUCUUCUUAUUGGUCAAAAACAAUAGAGAGAGAAAAAGGAAGAGAGAGAAUAAGAAGAUAAUGUGAAUAUGAGAGAGAAGGUUGUACAAAAGUUGUACAAAAAUGAUUGUACAAGUAUCAUUUUUCUUUAAUUAUGACACAAUUAUUUUCACUCUCUCCCUCUCUCACAUAUUUUUAUAUUUAAAAAAUAUAUUACCACAUAUCACACUUGAAUUGAUUAAUAUCAUGUCACACUAUAUGAGAAUCACACGUGAGUGAGAUAGAUAUUGCUAGCUUGUGUGCCGACUUGCCAAUGACAAUGUCUUCUUUAUUUAUAAUUAGAUUAAUAUUGUCUUCAAAAAACAAAUCAUUAGAUGAAUACAAAAUAUAUAUAAAAGAAAAAGAGAGAUACGUUAAAAAAAAAAAAUUGGAAAAUUUUAUAUAUUGAAUGUGUUAGUGGUAUAUAUCUAACCAACAAAAACCAUAGUCUAGAAAAACAACUAACAAAAGCUUUCAGCCACUGGUAUUUUCCCAUUCUUUGGGCAUUUCAUUAACUUUAGCAUUUCAAAGCUUCCUAUAUAUAACAACCUGCUUCACUCUUCUUCAUCAACCAACCAAAACACAAGAAUCAAUUUCCUUUGUCAUCUAAAAAGCAAGCAAAAGACUUCAAGAAUCAAUAUUAAUCAAGAUGAGUUCAACAAGUAGAGCAUGGGUAGCAGCAGGCAGUGUUGCAGUUGUUGAAGCAUUGAAAGAUCAAGGAAUAUGCAGAUGGAAUCAUACACUAAAAUCAGUUCAAAAUCAUGUUAAAAACAAUGUCAGAUCAUUUUCUCAAGCAAAGAAGCUUUCAUCCUCUUCCUCUUCUGCUAUGGUUUCUAAUUCUUCUAAGAGACAAAGAGAGAAGACAAAGCAAUCAGAGGAAUCUUUGAGGAAAGUCAUGUACUUGAGUUGUUGGGGUCCCAAUUAAGAGGAACUUUGGAAACAUUGAAGGAUCAAGGAUAUUGCACAUUGAAUGAGUUCCUCAGCUCAUGCCCAAGAAGCUAUAUCCUACUCCUUCUUCAACAAUUCCAAAAAAGCUCAUGAGUGAUGAGAAGAAGAGGAAAGCAGAGGAGUCUAUGGGAACCCUUUUGUUCUUGAGCGCAUAUGGAGUCCAAAUUCUUAGAACAAAAAAUGGAAACAAAAUUAGCAACAUUCAAAAUCACAGAAAAAUAUGGUGUCACUGAUAUAUGUAUUUCUGUAUGAAACUUGAGAGCCGAGUGCUCAAAUGUUAAAAUAGCACUUUCAUUAUGUAAAUUUGCUACCAAUACAAAUUUAGCAGCUUAAUUUGUUGAUGAAAAAAAAAUUCUAAUGUGAAUUUAGUUUCUAGAAAAGACCAUGUCACUUUUUUUAAUCCCACAAUACUAAAAGAAUAUUGGACACUUUACAUUCUAAGUUAGUGUUGUGAAUCCACUCUAUUAAAUUGCAAUCUGAGUCAUGCAACUUCAUAAUAAUCUGAGUGAGUCUAGUCAUAUAGUGUUGUGUUUUGAGUGCAGUACUGUUAGGGUAUUCUAAGACAGCAAAACUAAUUGAUUUCACUCAUAUAACGUGUUUAUUUUAUCAUAGAUUUGUUAAGUAACUCAUGCAAUUUUCUUAACUUACAUGAAUUAACAAAAAAAUUGAAAAGCCAAACAUGAUUUUAUUAAGACGAUAAGUUACCAGUGGUACCACCAAAAGGAAUUACAAUGCUGAAUGAAAGGUGUUUGAUGCACCAAUCAACCAGACUCCACUUACACCUACUCCAACACCCUAUACAUUUGAGACUAGCUACCCCAAAAUUACACAAACAAAGCAAAGGUAGCAUAAGAUACAAUGAGCCAAUACUAUUCAUAAUUCACCCACACCUGCUGCACAAACAAGGUGUUCACUGCUCACUGCUGCUAAUAAACCAAAGUUAGGUGAAGAUAUAAUUAUGGUAGUAAAAAUCCCGAUUUUAAUCCUAAACAUUCCAGUGUAAUUAAUUUCAUAAGUAUUUCAAGUGUUAUGUUGUUCAUAUUUGAGUGUUAGUGUGUUAUGCUAUGCUAUUAUGUGAGUUAUGCUUAUGAAUUUAAAUUUACACAAGUAUUUUAAGUGUAAUUUAAUCUUUUUUUUUUAUCUUGCAUAUACUAUUUUUUUAAAAUUUUAUGCAUACAAUUAAUGUAAUGAUUUGAAGGUGAGAAAAACACGAGGGUUUGAAUUUUGUUAUCCGAUAGCGAAUUGUGUUUUUGCACAUGGUCAUAAUAAGAUGAUAAAUUGUACUUAUGAGAGUCUGAUAACAACACUCCUUCAAAAGACGACAAGCUGAGUCAAAGUUUUCAGUUACUGACGUCAUCUUCAGAUGCUUCAUCCUUUAGAGUCUCCAUUCCUUUAGAAGCUUCUCAAUGAAAAGCAUCUUCUGAUUAGGAUGUUAACUUUCUAGUUGACCUUUCUUCAUAUUUUGUUUCAAAUCAUACAAGCUUCUCUUUUACUUCAAAUACUUUCCUAUACGUUCAGAGUUUAGAUAUUUCAAAAUUAAAACUUAACUCGAGAGUCAAAAUUUAAUUUUAUGAUUCUACAUAUUUAAACUCAUUGCGACCUUUCCACAAUAUCCAGAUGCAUGCAUAUCAAAAAUAAUUUAACCUUAUUGGAGUUCUUUAAAAGAAAAUUACACGCACAGCCGAUUUUCCUUUUGUAAAACAUCGUAAAAUGAUCAUUUUUUAUAAUUAUUACUUUAAUAUGUUAAUGGCAUCACCGAUUAUUAUUUCUUCAAAAUUUAUUUAUAUAUAUUUUAUCUUCCAAUUGAAUUUUCACACCUUAUUAUCCAUACUUUAUAUUUAUCCACUCAUAUUCACAUAGGUCUGUGUACCAAAUUAUACCUCAUCACCUGCUGGUUUUUAACAACAAACAAUGGUUUCAGGCAUUUUACUCACACGUUCCAAACCAUGGUUCCGUACAGUACCAACUGCAAUUUGCAUGGUCCUACAAUUACAAAUCAAAUCCAAAUGCAGGGAUUAAUAUAUUUUAUUGGGAACUUCUACGAUACACCUCACAAAUUGGGGUGUACCGGUACUCCUUGCUUCAUAAAUUGAUAAAUUUAUGAUUAUUUUAGGAAGUAAAGGGCUAUUUGUCAAGGUUAUUCUUUAGAAAACAUCAUUUCAUAUAAAGAAAAACAUAAUUUCAUUGUUUAUAAUAAUCAUAUUAAAUUUUUAACAUUACUCAUAAAAAAUAAUCAAUAAUCUUCAUUAUGAGUAAUAAAAAUUCAAAAAAAUUAAAUUUUAUUUCGUCGACACUUUUGGUAAAUAAGAUUUAAUUUUUAUAAUUGUAAAUGAUAGAUUUCUUNNNNNNNNNNNNNNNNNNNNNNNNNNNNNNNNNNNNNNNNNNNNNNNNNNNNNNNNNNNNNNNNNNNNNNNNNNNNNNNNNNNNNNNNNNNNNNNNNNNNNNNNNNNNNNNNNNNNNNNNNNNNNNNNNNNNNNNNNNNNNNNNNNNNNNNNNNNNNNNNNNNNNNNNNNNNNNNNNNNNNNNNNNNNNNNNNNNNNNNNNNNNNNNNNNNNNNNNNNNNNNNNNNNNNNNNNNNNNNNNNNNNNNNNNNNNNNNNNNNNNNNNNNNNNNNNNNNNNNNNNNNNNNNNNNNNNNNNNAAAAAAAAAAAAAAAAAAAACCAAAAGUGGGUCAUUUUGGGAAUUUUUUUCCAAAGGGGGUCAUACUUGAAUUUUUUUUCGAAAAGUGGGUCAGAAAAAAAAAAAAAUUCUUUUUUUGUUGAAUAUAUGAAUGACUAGAGGGGCUGCACAAUGACAUUGAAAUCAUAAUGAGAAAAAAAAAUGAAAAUAAUUUUUUUAGGCACGUUUAGGAUAAGAACCCAUCAAAGUGAGUUGGAUGCAGUGAUCACGUAAUGACAAAGUGGUCCAAGGUAGAUUAUUUUGUUUUAUUUAAUUUCCAAAACCAGUAGACAUAGCCUAUGGUUUCUCCAAAACCAAGUGUAUUAUUAGUUAUCUAGCUAGCUCAUGGUAUCUUAUUUCAAUAUAAUAAAUAAGAUCGAACAUGACUCCUCUCUACUUCAUCAAAUCAACAAUCUUAUUUUCUUAUUUACCAAACAACACUGUCUACUUCUAAAUUUUGAUAUCCAAAAAUCAUGAAUCGUGCAACAGCAACAAGCAAAGCAUGGAUGGUGGCUGCAAGUGUUGGAGUUGUGGAGGCUUUGAAAGACCAAGCUGGUAUUUGCAGAUGGAACUAUGGUUUAAGACAAGCUCAACAACACCUUAAAAACCGUGUUAGAUCAAUUUCUCAAGCAAAGAAUUUCUCUUCUUCUUCAUUUCUUGCUAACAAACUUAAGGAUGAGAAGAAGGCCAAACAGGCAGAGGAGUCUUUGAGGACUGUCAUGUACUUGAGCUGCUGGGGUCCUAAUUGAUUAACUUAUACAUAGUGAUGUUAGAUUAUAUUAAUUAUGUAAAUUUUG
rnacentral:lncRNA from 1 species